rnacentral:rRNA from 1 species
UGCCCCAGUAACGCGCGAGUGAAGCGGCAAGAGCUCAAAUUUGAAAGCUGGCUCCUUCGGGGUCCGCAUUGUAAUUUGUAGAGGAUGCUUCGGGAGCGGUCCCCAUCUAAGUGCCCUGGAACGGGACGUCAUAGAGGGUGAGAAUCCCGUAUGGGAUGGGGUGUCCGCGCCCGUGUGAAGCUCCUUCGACGAGUCGAGUUGUUUGGGAAUGCAGCUCUAAAUGGGUGGUAAAUUUCAUCUAAAGCUAAAUAUUGGCCGGAGACCGAUAGCGCACAAGUAGAGUGAUCGAAAGAUGAAAAGCACUUUGAAAAGAGAGUUAAAAAGCACGUGAAAUUGUUGAAAGGGAAGCGCUUGCGACCAGACUCGCUCGCGGGGUUCAGCCGGCAUUCGUGCCGGUGUACUUCCCCGCGGGCGGGCCAGCGUCGGUUUGGGCGGUCGGUCAAAGGCCCUCGGAAGGUAACGCCCCUAGGGGCGUCUUAUAGCCGAGGGUGCAAUGCGACCUGCCUAGACCGAGGAACGCGCUUCGGCUCGGACGCUGGCAUAAUGGUCGUAAACGAC